UUUAUUGGAGAGUUUGAUCCUGGCUCAGGGUGAACGCUGGCGGCGUGCCUAAGACAUGCAAGUCGAGCGGGGCAGGUUUAUACCUGUUCAGCGGCGGACGGGUGAGUAACGCGUGGGUGACCUACCCGGAAGAGGCGGACAACCUGGGGAAACCCAGGCUAAUCCGCCAUGUGGUCCUAUCCUGUGGGGCAGGACUAAAGGGUGGAUAGCCCGCUUCCGGAUGGGCCCGCGUCCCAUCAGCUAGUUGGUGGGGUAAAGGCCCACCAAGGCGACGACGGGUAGCCGGUCUGAGAGGAUGGCCGGCCACAGGGGCACUG
rnacentral:rRNA from 1 species